rnacentral:tRNA from 15 species
GGACCCGUAGCUCAGCUGGAUAGAGCGUUGCCCUCCGAAGGCAAAGGUCGCGCGUUCGAAUCGCGCCGGGUCCGCCA